AGAGAGGUGGCAGAGUGGCUUAUCGCGCACGCUUGGAAAGCGUGUUUCCCUAAUCGGAACGUGGGUUCAAAUCCCACUCUCUCUA
rnacentral:tRNA from 1 species